rnacentral:rRNA from 1 species
ACGGCAGUGUUUGGCACCUCGAUGUCGGCUCAUCUCAUCCUGGGGCUGGAGCAGGUCCCAAGGGUACGGCUGUUCGCCGUUUAAAGAGGUACGUGAGCUGGGUUUAGAACGUCGUGAGACAGUUCGGUCCCUAUCUGCCGUGGGUGUAGGAUACUUGAGAGGAGUUGCCCCUAGUACGAGAGGACCGGGGUGAACGAACCACUGGUGGACCAGUUGUCGUGCCAACGGCAGUGCUGGGUAGCUAUGUUCGGACAGGAUAACCGCUGAAGGCAUCUAAGCGGGAAGCCCCCCUCAAAACAAGGUAUCCCUGAGGGCCGAGGUAGACCACCUCGUCAAUAGGCCAGAGAUGUAAGCGUGGUAACACGUUCAGUUGACUGGUACUAAUCGCCCGAUUGGCUUGAUC